GACGACGACGUUGAUAGGUCGGGUGUGUAAGCGUAGCGAUACGUUGAGCUAACCGAUACUAAUGAACCGUGAGGCUUAACCUUACAACGCCGAAG
rnacentral:rRNA from 1 species